rnacentral:rRNA from 1 species
CCUGACGCAGCGACGCCGCGUGGAGGAUGAAGGUCUUCGGAUUGUAAACUCCUGUUGCUCGGGACGAAAAGCCUCGACCUAACACGUCGAGGUCUGACGGUACCGAGUGAGGAAGCCCCGGCUAACUCUGUGCCAGCAGCCGCGGUAAUACAGAGGGGGCAAGCGUUGUUCGGAAUUACUGGGCGUAAAGGGCGCGUAGGCGGCCCGCUAAGUCGAACGUGAAAUCCCCGAGCUCAACUCGGGAACUGCGUCCGAUACUGGUGGGCUUGAAUCCGGGAGAGGGAUGCGGAAUUCCAGGUGUAGCGGUGAAAUGCGUAGAUAUCUGGAGGAACACCGGUGGCGAAGGCGGCAUCCUGGACCGGCAUUGACGCUGAGGCGCGAAAGCUAGGGGAGCAAACGGGAUUAGAUACCCCGGUAGUCCUAGCCCUAAACGAUGAAUGCUUGGUGUGGCGGGUAUCGAUCCCUGCCGUGCCGAAGCUAACGCAUUAAGCAUUCCGCCUGGGGAGUACGGUCGCAAGGCUGAAACUCAAAUGAAUUGACGG